AUUGAACGCUGGCGGCAGGCCUAACACAUGCAAGUCGAACGGUAACAGGAAGAAGCUUGCUUCUUUGCUGACGAGUGGCGGACGGGUGAGAAUGUCUGGGAAACUGCCUGAUGGAGGGGGAUAACUACUGGAAACGGUAGCUAAUACCGCAUAACGUCGCAAGACCAAAGAGGGGGACCUUCGGGCCUCUUGCCAUCGGAUGUGCCCAGAUGGGAUUAGCUAGUAGGUGGGGUAACGGCUCACCUAGGCGACGAUCCCUAGCUGGUCUGAGAGGAUGACCAGCCACACUGGAACUGAGACACGGUCCAGACUCCUACGGGAGGCAGCAGUGGGGAAUAUUGCACAAUGGGCGCAAGCCUGAUGCAGCCAUGCCGCGUGUAUGAAGAAGGCCUUCGGGUUGUAAAGUACUUUCAGCGGGGAGGAAGGGAGUAAAGUUAAUACCUUUGCUCAUUGACGUUACCCGCAGAAGAAGCACCGGCUAACUCCGUG
rnacentral:rRNA from 1 species